GCGGGCUCUCCCGCUGUCACCGCAGCAGCAGAGCUGCCGCGGCCGAUGUUUUCUCUGUAAGCAAAGCAAAGGGCGUGGAUCGAGGGCUGGAAAAGCACCAUCAAAGCGGCUCCUUCGUACGUCUGAGCGCCGAUCCGGUCACAGUUAAUCGGCGAACGUCCCGACGGCUCUCUGAACAAAACGCCCUUCAGGUGAGUUUCCAGCUCCGACGCCCUACAUUCGGUUUUUAUGAAGUUUCUCGAGGAAACCCACGCCAGGCUCUGCCCUCCGUCAGCUCCCGGCCGCAAACAGCCCCGCGGGCGGACAGACGGACGGCCUUUGGCACCGGGGAAUCGCCAGAACCGGAGCUCCGCCGUGCGAUGACCGCCUCCCGUGACAUCGAUGGCGUUCGUUAGGGGGCGGAUUUCGUGUCCCGAGACGUGUGUGAGUAAGCGCUCAGCUCCGCGCUGAUGGAAACACGCGCUCACAGCCCGGUACGGUUUCACCGGUUUACAAACGCCGUCCAUUAAAACACGAUUAUGUACCAAACGGGUUCUUUCUAUGCGAGAUCCUCAAAUCCGUUGUUUACAUUGCACCUAUAUUAACAAACCACAAAAUAAGCCCGUAGCGUUUUUAAGAGAGGUUUUAGGCUGGGAACGUGGAAACUUGCCUAGACGAAAUGACACGGAAGCUGAAUGAACACGAGGAGAUUAUCUGUGUCUGAAGGUUGGGCAUUAGCCGCAAUGAAAAGAUUUAUUUUUCCGACGCUUUUUUUUUUCCCCCCAGCUGGUUAUUUCCAGGGCUGCUGGCAGUGUAAGCUCACUCUCUGAGCAGAUACUGAAGCCCGUGUGUUCUAUGUAAGGGUGCUAUUCAAGGAGGAGGCUCUCAGUGCCACAGAGUGCCUGCUGGGUUCAGGUGCACAUGUUCUUACAGCAUUACUCAUACUCGAAAAAUACUUGCUAUUCAUACUCAGAAGUUACUCGAGCAUGACUUGCAGUGGAAAAUUGUGCAAAAAUAAUAUUUCUUUGUGAUACCUGAUAGCCUGGGAACUUGCCUGUGCAAAGUCCCUCUCCGUCAGAGAUGUACCACGAGGAUGAAGAAAAUAGAGCCGUGAGGAGAAGAGGCGGAUGUUCAGUGGUUGUUCACACACUGAAAGCUUUGUGUCACAGCAGCUCCGACGCUUUUCUGAAGAGACAAUUCUGCAAUCGUUAGAGCUGCCAACCCAAACCCUGCCGUGGCUAUUCUUCUAUGGCUUACAGCAACCUCCAAACUCGCACCGUGUGUAGUGUGACUGUUGUGUCAGCAGGAGCAAUGUGAAGACUGAACCCCGGGAUCCACAGUUCAGGAGGAGUUCUCGUGAAAACAGGCUGUGUGGGAGAAGCAUGAGUUGGAGUGGGGAAGGAGGAAUGUAUCAGGCUUAACACACAGCAUAUGCUCUCCUUGCAGAAUGGAUUGGGUGACGCCGGGAAGAGGAAGAAAUCAGGAUAAAUCAGAGAGUUGUGCGUGGAAGCAGUGAAAGAAAGCUGAUAGUAUUCUGGAGAGAUAUGAGGAGCAGAACUCAGGAAAGAGUGUUGGAUUUCAAAGGAACACAGGUUGUUAGGAGCUGGCAAGCUUGGUCAUGGCAAGCUGUAUUGGUACUGCUGGAUGAUGUGCUCUGGAGACAGCAUGCAGCAUUGGUCAGCCACCUCUCAGCAUCCUCAAUGCAGGGACUUUCUGUUUAGUUUUGCUGUUCUUUUAAUCCCAAUGGACCAGGAAAUAUCUGAAUGACAACAGUUUCACAGGUUUCUAUGAAGGUCUUACAUCUGUUUUCCUGACCCUUAAAAUAAGACUUGUGCUUAUUUUUCUGCUCUGGGGUUCUGAUACUCCCCUCUGCUUUCACUGUUUUUACAGCACAAAGGUAGCCCGAGGAAUCUGGAAGGUGAUGGACUCAGUGCAUACUGCAUGCUCCCACUGAGCCUAUGGACAGCCAGAAAUUCUCACAAAUGGCCAGAAAAGCUGUAGAUGAAGUGGAAGAGUGAUGGUCUGCUGCCAAGAGCAUUGGAGAGGGUGUUUGUGGCAUUCAUGUGGUCAGAAAGUCAACUGUCUCCUCCCCAGAUUCACAAAUUCCUAUUCGCAGAAAGGGUCAUGUUUUCUGUUUUCCAGGCAUUUAAACACAUAGAAGGCAUUUUCUUGUUUCCUUGCUUUCCAGAAUUCUGGAAGCAGGGUUUUUAUAUAUACAACCAUUUUUAAACUUGCUGCACUUUCCUUCUACCCCUUGAUCUUUACUGUUUCAGUGGAUCCCUUUUCAUUCUAUUGUAUGGUGUAUUUUUAGGUUUAGAAACUGUGCUUAAUUCUUAUUUCAGAAGAUGGCUCUUCUCAGAAGGCAAUGAUGAGAUCCUUGUGGUUUGCUGUGAGCCUUGUAGCCUCUAGUGUAAACCUAUUGGAUCUCAUUUAACAGAGAAGCAGAGAAAGUACCACACGUUCAAGUGCUGCUCAGAAACACCUAUCAGGGAGAAAAAAGCCUCUGUAAGCAAAAGUAUUGUGUGACCUUUCAUUAUUAAAACAGUCACAGUGUAUUUGAGGGUUUAUUUAUACUAUGUUAAUUCUUAGGAGUUCCACUCAUUGACCAGCAUCACUCUUUUGCUUGUUGCAGUGUCAGGUGGGCACUGUCAUCCUGCCAUGUUCUCUUUUGUGUGUGUUGCAAUCUUUAUUUUUUACGAAGGGAUUUAUAAAAGCAACUGACAUCCUGACAGUGCUAGGAAGUUCUAAAAUACUGUAGUUAAUAGAAGGUAACCAUAUUGUUCAUUGGGUCUGGAAAAAAGAAAUUAGGAAAAUGUUUUUUUUAACAAAUGUUUUGGACUGUGUACAGUCCAUCCAAGUAUCUUCUAUUAGAUGAGAUGACCUCCAGUGAAGAUCUUACUCCUUUAUGAAUUUGGAAUAGUUAUGUUUGGAUUGGAUAAGAGAAGAAUACCUUUCUAUCAAAGAGCCCAUAAUUGGUGGUACGCGAAAGUGGGCCAAAGACUUUGGCAUGAAUCUGUGUUUUCUGCCCUCUUAAUAAAAUGCUCUGCUUUCUCAGGCUUGGUUAUAUACACUCUGUACAAAUUCUCUUCUUUGACCUUAGGUUUACACAUCUCACAUUUUCCAGGUGCGUUUCCCUGAUGAUAUUUUUAUUGGUGUAUUUAUGGUAAACGUGUCCUUGAGUGUCCCACGAAGUCUGUCAGAUCCACAUUCUGUUACUGCAUUCAGUGCAGACGAAAGCUUUGAAGAAAGGGUAAUUUUCAGUGCUGAAGGUAUUAGAACUGCCACAGCUGGGAGAUGCAUAUGGGAGCACUUGCUUAUCCCACAGCAAACCUGUAAGUUUAAUCCUGAAUCCAUAUAUGAAUUGUUUUGAUAAAGAAGCUUAGGUAGUGGGUAGAGGAUAGGAAAUAAUGGUUGUUCCAGAAUGGUGUGGAUGUAGGUCCUGUCCUGUUUGUUCCAAAUCAGAAGUGUUUUCCUUGCAUUGCCAAUCUCUGUCUACAUGACUGAGUCUUAUUUGUUCUACUCAGAUUCCUCUAGUUCCUGUGCAGCUGUACCUGUAAAAGCUGACAUUAGCUGAUGAGGCACUUCUAGUUCAAAUAUUAGAAGAUUAAUAAUGAGAUAAUUCAGUUAUCACAUUUAUUUAUUUGUUUAUACUCUUCUCUUGCUCACUUCAAUCUUUAUUUAUAUCAGUGCGUGCUGAAGGUUUCAGCAUCUCUACCCUCACUACUUUUCUGCCAAGGUAAUAUUUAUCUGCAGAGAAAGGUGACAGUAAGAAAGCAGGAUUUCCUAAGAAUCUGAGGACAGAUCUGAGUCUGUUUUGUGUGCUGCGUUUGAUGGUAGUCAGUCAUGUGCCCAGUGAUAGGUACAAAAGAGGUAAGCAAAUUGUCUCUUUGCAGGCAUUUGUUGCUCAGGGGUUUUCUGAAGUGAAAGUGGCAAUUAGCCUGUAGUCAUUUGUUGCAUUUAUUUGUUGUUUCUAACCAAGUAGGCUUUGGUAUAUGCCACGUUGUCUGGAGACAUGUUUUUUUAUCUGUGCAACAUGUAAAGAAUGACUUCUUGUUUGCUUUUUUAACUUGCCACUCACUAAUUUCAUUUGAAGUAUUUUGGAUCAUGUUCUGACAAAGACAAUAUCCUCUUUUUCUCCGUGCAACUUUUUGUUCUGUGGGACUGUGCCAACUUUUCCUCCAGCAUCUCUCUGCUCUCCCCACAUCUCAGUCAUACCACGGAGUUCAUACUGAUUUUUGACACUAUAUUUGGUCUGUGUGAUGUGAUAAUCCUAGUUUAUAACUAAAGAGUAUCUACCAAUGAUCUUGUACAGUGUUUCUAAAGUAACAAAAAAUCACUAGCAUGGAAUGUUCUGGUCUGUGUAUCUCCAUAUAUGAUGGAGAGCUUUUUCAGAGUUCAGCCUGUAAAUUCAUAUCAGUCUGUGAUAUCCUAAAUCCCCAGUAACAGUGUCCUUGGAGUGAAACUCAGUCCUUGUGUCAGAAUAAUCCCUCCUCGCGCAAUCAUGUUGCCCUCUGUUGGUUAGCUUUGAUUCAGAAAGUUCCCAGGCCUGCUAAUUACCAGAGGACUUAUUUAAAUUCCUGUGGAAGAGGCCUCAGUGUUUUACUCUGGUUCGUGUGCUGGCUGAGGGGUGCAUCCGUGCUUUCGGAGGAAAGGGUGGAAGCCUCUUCGUAGGUUGUGGUUGCAACAAUGUUCAUUUAUAAAGCUGGGUUUGAUUUCUCUUAAUGAAGCUCACAUUUUAAGAGCUGGAAUUCAUUGAUGUUCAAGAUCAGUUAUUGAAAAGUUUGUAUUGCAUUUUUUGAAGAAUUGGUCUGAAAGCAGCUAGAAUCAGAACUUCUUUUCCUGUGUGCUCAAUGUUUAUGUCCAUGCAGGUUCCCAGUGGAUUCACAAGGAUGCUUGGUAAAGUCAGAUGGCACAAAAAAGCCUACAGGAAGAAAAGAAGGGCAAAAAGAAUGCUCAUUGCAUAGGGAGAUAUGAAAAAGCUCUCCCUCUAAAUGCUGGAAAAUGGUUUUAUUACCAUUAUUGUUACCAGAUAAUCUGAUGAAUUAAAAGGUUGGUGAGUAAGGAAGAUGAAAAUUUUGGGGGAAGUAGGAUAUUUUUCUUGUUGACUGAUUAAUCUGGAACUGCUCUGAAUCCAAAUGGAUUUCUGGGAUCCUGUCAUCUUAUCAAAUAUAGUCUGACUGCAUCUAGGCAACGUGUUCAGGAUGUCAUAAGAUAUAACUGAAGACCAAAGGUUAAGGAGGAAGACCAUGACAGAGCUAGGAAUAGCUUUCUUCUUUAGAGGGGUGAACUGGAAUGCUGGUCAGCAUGCUGCAGUGACUUGCAAACAUGUUCAUCAAAGUCCUUGCACCCAAAUAGGCCAUGGAUGUGAGUAAUGCUUAUUUCUUUUUUGUUACAAAAUGCUUGAGAUGUGUGGCUGGGAAAUCAAGCAUGUCAGUGCAAACUACUGUUAUUGAUAGGAAUGAGUUUCAGAUGGCACAGCUGAAAAUGCGUCUUCUACUUUGCCUGGGAUCCACUACAGGUUAGACUCUAAGCAUAAAACUAAGAAACCUGUUUCAGUUGACACAGAUAUUGAUAUAAUACAAUCAGAUAUUGAUAAUAUGAUAUGAAAUAAUAUGAUUGGUUAGAGAUACUAUCUGAUGGUAGUAGGUAAUGCAGCUAAAUAUUACUAAAUAAUAGUAAUAAUGAUAAUAAAUCCACUUACAUAAUAGAAAAUAAAUAAGAAAAAAUCCUGAAAUAAUGAUUGCAAAAUCUUAACUUUUUUAUGCUUCCAGAAUGAAGACGAUGUAGUUUCUUGACACAAGGAUUUAUGAAACAACCCAUAAAGACCCACGGUACAGCAAUCUAAGGAGCAAACUAAAGAUGUUUUAUUGAGCAAUGUGCGUGUAUUUAUUUGCACUUGGAAAGAGCAGCUUUCUGUGUGAUUACAUGCAGUCUGAGAAUUUUACGUAUUGAUGUAUUUAUACAUCACCUGAGGUGUCUUUAUUCUCUUGGUAAAACUUGACUUGCCUGGUGUGAUGCUCUUUGGAGAUUCUUUCUGUACUAGAUGAGGCACUGAGCCUGUUGAAUCAAGCAUCCCUGCUGGCCUUGGUAAGCCACAAUACCACUGCAGAUAUGCAGAGAAGUCAAAGACUGGCUUCCUUUGUGUUAGAGUGAAGAAAGACAUCUGGUUCUUCUAUUACUUUUCAGAUGGCUCUUUACUUUUAUUAAUGCCUAAUACACAAAUAGCCAAAAAUUGAAGUUUAAUACAUUAAUGCAGAUGUUAAAACAAAAAUAGCUCCUGUUUUGCAUCCGAAGAUUUCAAUUUGGGGUCACUUGUGGGUGGAAGUGAAGCUACUUUUCAGUCACGUACCAUAGUGUAGGUUAAUGUGGUGUAGGUUAAUGUGGUGUAGGUUAAUGUGGACCUGAUACGUAAUUCCAAUGCCCUGCCUGUCUGGGAGCAGGCACACAAAGACCUGACUGUGUAAUGGAAACUUUGAUAACAUCAAUUACUGACAACUCUCAUUUGUUUGCAGUUUCAGGCCUUGUCUAGAGAUAUACUACUUUGCCUAAAUCUGUUAAGCUUAACCAAAACCAUGGAUGUGACUGUUAUUUGGCAGAUAAAAGAAGUGAAAGGAAGGAGAGAAGA